UACCAGCACCCCGAGUGGUCGGGACGUUUUAUUGGGCCUAAAGCAUCCGUAGCCGGUUCUACAAGUCUUCCGUUAAAUCCAGCUGCUUAACAGAUGGGCUGCGGAAGAUACUAUGGAGCUAGGAGGCGGGAGAGGCAAGCGGUACUCGAUGGGUAGGGGUAAAAUCCGUUGAUCCAUUGAAGACCACCAGUGGCGAAGGCGGCUUGCCAGAACGCGCUCGACGGUGAGGGAUA
rnacentral:rRNA from 1 species